AACGAACGCUGGCGGCAGGCCUAACACAUGCAAGUCGAACGCCCUAGCAAUAGGGAGUGGCAGACGGGUGAGUAACACGUGGGAACCUUCCCUAUAGUACGGAAUAUACCAGGGAAACUUGGAGCAAUACCGUAUACGCCCGAGAGGGGAAGGAUUUAUUCGCUAUAGGAUGGGCCCGGCCGUAGGAUUAGCUAGUUGGUGAGGUAAUGGCUCACCAAGGCGACGAUCCUUAG
rnacentral:rRNA from 1 species